rnacentral:rRNA from 1 species
UACGGGGGGGGCAAGCGUUGUUCGGAUUUACUGGGCGUAAAGGCGCGUAGGCGGUCAGCACAAGUCAGUUGUGAAAUCUCCGGGCUUAACUCGGAAAGGUCAACUGAUACUGUGCGACUAGAGUGCAGAAGGGGCAACUGGAAUUCUCGGUGUAGCGGUGAAAUGCGUAGAUAUCGAGAGGAACACCUGCGGCGAAGGCGGGUUGCUGGGCCGACACUGACGCUGAGGCGCGAAAGCCAGGGGAGCGAACGGG